rnacentral:rRNA from 1 species
GCAAAAGCUCAAAUUUGAAAUCUGUCACCUUCGGUGUCCGAGUUGUAAUUUGAAGAUUUAAGGUUUACUGGGUCUUGUCUACGUUCCUUGGAAUAGGACAUCACAGAGGGUGAGAAUCCCGUGCGAUGAGAUGCCGUAUUGUAACCUUUUUUCGACGAGUCGAGUUGUUUGGGAAUGCAGCUCUAAGUGGGUGGUAAAUUCCAUCUAAAGCUAAAUAUUGGCGAGAGACCGAUAGCGAACAAGUACAGUGAUGGAAAGAUGAAAAGAACUUUGAAAAGAGAGUGAAAAAGUACGUGAAAUUGUUGAAAGGGAAGGAUUUGAGAUCAGACUUGGUAUUUUGCAACCUUACUCUCGGGUGAGGCCCCUGCAGUUUACUGGGCCAGCAUCAGUUUGGAUGAUGGGAU